rnacentral:rRNA from 1 species
UGCCAGCAGCCGCGGUAAUACGGAGGGUGCAAGCGUUGUUCGGAAUCACUGGGCGUAAAGAGCACGCAGGCGGACAGUUAAGUCGGAAGUGAAAUCUAUAGGCUCAACCUAUAGCGGGCUUCCGAAACUGGUUGUCUGGAAUCUCGGAGAGGUAAGUGGAAUUCCAGGUGUAGCGGUGAAAUGCGUAGAUAUCUGGAGGAACAUCAGUGGCGAAGGCGGCUCCCUGGCCAAAGACUGACGCUCAUGUGCGAAAGUGUGGGUAGCGAACAGGAUUAGAUA